GAUGAACGCUGGCGGCGUGCCUAAUACAUGCAAGUCGAGCGAACAGACGAGGAGCUUGCUCCUCUGACGUUAGCCGCGCACGGGUGUGUAACAUGUGUAUCACCUCCCUAUCUGACUGGGAUCACUUCGAGACACCGGCGCUUAUCCCGGAUAAUCUAUUGAUCCGCAUGGUUCAAUAGUGAAAGUCGGUUUUUCUGUCUCUUCUCGCUGGAUCCGCGCCUCUUUAGCUGGUUGGGAAGGGAACGGGUUAACAAGGCAGCGAGGCGUAACCGACCUGAGAGGCUGAUCGGCCACCCGGGAGCGGGGACGCGGUCCAGGCGCCUACGGGAGGCAGCAGUAGGGAAUCUUCCGCAGUGGGCGAAAGCCUGACGGAGCAACGCGGCGUGAGUGAUGAAGAUCUUCGGAGCGUAAAACUCGGUUAUUAGGGAAGAACAAAUGUGUAAGUAACUAUGCACGUCUUGACGGUACCUAAUCAGAAAGCCACGGCUAACUACGUG
rnacentral:rRNA from 1 species